rnacentral:rRNA from 1 species
AGCUUCCUACGGGAGGCAGCAGUGAGGAAUAUUGGUCAAUGGUCGGGAGACUGAACCAGCCAAGCCGCGUGAGGGAGGAAGGUACAGAGUAUCGUAAACCUCUUUUGUCAGGGAACAAAGGCGGGGACGUGUCCCCGGAUGAGUGUACCUGAAGAAAAAGCAUCGGCUAACUCCGUGCCGGCAGCCGCGGUAAUACGGAGGAUGCGAGCGUUAUCCGGAUUUGUUGGGUUUAAAGGGUGCGCAGGCGGUCUGUUAAGUCAGCGGUCAAAGCCCGGGGCUCAACCCCGGCCCGCCGUUGAAGCUGG